AAACGUUGAAAUGAGGUUGAAAUGUGAUCAACGUAUAUUCAACGUUGUAACAACGUAACAUUUUCAACGUUGAGAAAUAAACAAAUAUUCAACGUUGAAUUAACGUUGACAAUUUCAACGUUGAAAUUUAAAAGUUGAUUCAACAUUGAAUCAACGUUAACUUAUUUACUCAUCUGGUAGGCCUAUAUAAAAAAAAAGCAUUAUCAAAUGGUAAUGCAUGCACAACCGUAAUAGUAUACACUUAUAAAGAAAAGAAUGAAAUAGAAUUUUCGUUUUCACAUUGAUAAAACAGUAUAGUACCAACUAUUGAUCACUAUUUAAACUUGAGUUGUGUCACGUUAUGAGAAAAAAGGGGGUAAGUCUUUCUUAAUGAAUUUCUAGGGAAUGAGAAAUGUGAGUUAUUUAUUUUAUUUCACAUAAUGUUAAUUGGAACAUAAGGAUAAUAUGUAAAGAAAUUUGAAAUAGCAAGUUAAUUAUCUACAAUGAUCGCGAUUUCUUUCAUUCAUAUUUUCGCGGGAUUUGAACAGGAAGUCGGAUUGCCCAUGCGCAUUAUUUAAACGCGUCUUUCCUGUAUUUCAAAAAGAAUAACAAACGACGAGGUUGCAGGGAAACUUUCCGUUUAUCACGCAUAUUUAUGUUUCUUGUCAAACAAAUCAUUGGCUGUAAUGCAUCAAGUGGAGCAAAAUAAAAAAUCAGUUUUGGGAAUGCCAGUCUUUAAAAUCAUCAAAGAGGUUAAAUAUACUGCAAAAGUAUAAAGAUGACAUUGGGAAAUACACAUCUGAUAAAGACCCCUCCUGCUUAAAGUCUACCGCAGAAAUAUCUCGAAGUGGUGGAAAAUGAUGACACGCAAUAAGGACAAACAGAGACAAAGAUAACAAAUGAAUUUAUAAAAUAAAUAUUGUAUCAAAAGAAAUAUGAUUGUAUUACUAGUACUUAAUUUGAUAUUGUUCCUGAGUAUGUAUUCAUUUAAUGGUUUAUACCAAUUAUUGGUGUGAGGGUAAUAUUUAUAUUUAUAUAUACAUAACAUAUUUGUAUAUAUAAUCAAGGACCUUUGGUUUUUGUGGAGAUUUGUCUGCCCGUGAGUGGUUAGCAGUCAUGCAGCAACUUCUUAUUGUAAUAAGUAUUGCAAUCAUCCUGAACACAAGUUGGAUCUUAUUAUGUCUUCAUGAUUCUUGGGAUAUACUUCUUUUAAGAAGGGCUUAACAUUUGUUGGUCGUUAAAAAAACUACUUUCAACUUGUGAGAAUUAUUUAGAACUAUAUAUAUUCAACAUCUUCUUUCUUCUCUGUUUGGAGAUCCUUUCUGUGGUGUCGGGGAUGUUGUUUCAGUAACAGUUGAUGUAUUUAUUUAGAUGUUUCCCAUUUAGCUUAUCUAUUUGGUUUAUAUGUAUCUUGGUUAGAGAAAAACACAUUAAAAAAAGUGUACACUCAGGCUGCCUACCAUCUAACAACAGCAAAAAUUUGGAGAGCAGCCAGGUAAAAAUGUGUAUG